GUGCCAGCAGCCGCGGUAAUACGUAGGAGGCGAGCGUUGUCCGGAUUUACUGGGCGUAAAGCGCGCGCAGGCGGCAUACCAAGUACAACGUGAAAUCUCCCUGCUCAACGGGGAGGGAGCGUAGUAAACUGGUAAGCUAGAGGACGGUAGAGGGGGGUAGAAUUGCUGGUGUAGCGGUGAAAUGCGUAGAGAUCAGCAGGAAUACCCGUGGCGAAGGCGGCCCCCUGGGCCGAACCUGACGCUGAGGCGCGAAGGCUAGGGGAGCGAACGGGAUUAGAUACCCCGGUAGUCC
rnacentral:rRNA from 1 species